rnacentral:misc_RNA from 1 species
UUUCCGUAGGUGAACCUGCGGAAGGAUCAUUACAGAGUCCGGCCCCCGCCCCGGUCGCCCCCGCCUCCGCCUCCGCGCGGGGCGGGGAGCCGGCCGGUGCGGGGUGCCACCUUCAAACCCGGGGCGGGGGCCCCACCACUCCCGAGAGGGAGCGGAGGGUGCCCCCGUCCCACCCUUUUCAAACCCGUGGACUCGAGGAAAAUCCAGGGAGCGGCUCGCGCUCCGAACCGACUCGCCCCGGGGGACCGGUCCUCCGGUCCGCCGGCGGCACACCUUCAUGAAUCAAUGCACGCAAAACUUUCAGCAACGGAUCUCUUGGUUCUC